CCUACGGGAGGCAGCAGUGAGGAAUAUUGGUCAAUGGUCGGGAGACUGAACCAGCCAAGCCGCGUGAGGGAUGAAGGUACAGAGUAUCGUAAACCUCUUUUGUCAGGGAACAAAGGCGGGGACGCGUCCCCGGAUGAGUGUACCUGACGAAAAAGCAUCGGCUAACUCCGUGCCAGCAGCCGCGGUACUACGGUGGAUGCGAGCGUUAUCCGGAGUUAUGGGGUUUAAAGGGUGCGCAGGCGGUCUGGUAAGUCCGCGGUCAAAGCCCGGGGCUCAACCCCGGCCCGCCGUUGAAACUGGCAGUCUCGAGUUGGAGAGAGGUAUGCGGAAUGCGCGGUGUAGCGGUGAAAUGCAUAGAUAUCGCGCAGAACUCCGAUUGCGAAGGCAGCAUGCCGGCUCCACACUGACGCUGAGGCACGAAAGCGUGGGUAUCGAACAGGAUUAGAUACCCCAGUAGUC
rnacentral:rRNA from 1 species